GCUGGGUUUGUGACCCCUGGGCGCUGAGGCUUCCUGGUGAAGAGAGGCAGUGGCAGACAGUAGCCCAGAGGGGUCCCCCAGUCCCUUCGAAGGACCUUCUCCUGUUUCUCCCCUCGCCCUGCAGCCCACACCCAUCCCCCCCAGGCUUGGCAGUCAAAUGGACUAGUUUUCUUUCCUGGAGAAACUACAGAUGGAAAGUCCCAGACAAGGGCUCCUGUGUGACCCUGUGGCCUCACAAAGCUCCCAGCCCUGCCCCUUAAUCACUUGCCCCUUGCAAGCUUUCCUUUCCUGGAACAGCAGAGCUGGCUAAGAUCUGGGCGAAGAGCUCCAUAUUGGUUUCCUAUUGCUGCUGCAACAAAUAACCACAAAUUGAGUGAAUUAAUACAAAUUUAUUCUCUUAAGGGGUGGGGGUCAGAAGCCCAGAGCCCAGGUGCAGGAGGGCUGCGUUUCUUCGUGGGUCAGGGGGAGAAUCUGUCUCCUGGCUUUUCCCAGCUUCUAGAAGCUGCCCGCAUUCCUUGGCUUGUGGCCUCAUCCUCCUUCAUGGCCAGCAGCAUGGUCCACCCUCUCCAUCUGACUCUGACUCUCUUCCCUCUAUGGUGAUGACAAGGGGGCCCAGCCCUCCCAGCCUGACUGUAAACUCCUGGGGGGGAGUGGUCGGCAGUGCUUCUCCCACAUCCUUCCUCCCCCAGCAUCCACACACCCGGCCCAAGAAAGGCAUAGGGCCUGCCACUGCUGCCCACAAGACAGGGAGCUCCAUCCAUCCAGGCUUCCUGGGAAGGACUCAAGAUGCUCCUGAGGUCUCGGGCUCUCUGGGCCCAGACCUGAGCCCUGUGGUCCCCCUCCCUUGCCAGAGGUAAGGGCUGGCUAAGGAGGAGCUGAAGUGUGAGUUGGUGGGGACCCAUAAGUCCCGUGUGAAUUCACCUAGGCCUCAUGGGUGCCUCCAGCUUUGGGGAACUGUUGCCAAGAAAGGGGAGGGAAGGUUCUAGGACCCGAGACCAAGAGCAUUCCAUGGAGUUUGGAGCAGGGAGCCUCUACUCUGCCAUGUUUCUGCUGGGCCACCCAUGGGGGGGUCUUGCUCCCUCUCUGAGCCCCAUGGGCCCCACUGGGAAGAUGGAGAUAAUUUUGGAGCUCUCCUCCUAGGGUGGGUGGAGAUUCAGGGGAAACUGUUGAGAACACACUGCAUAUUAAGAACAGUUCAAGAGUUCCCGUCCUGGCUCAGGGGUAAUGAACCCAACUAGUAUCCAUGAGGAUGUGGGUUCAAUCCCUGGCCUCACUCAGUGGGUUAAGGAUCCGGCGUUGCUAUGGCUAUGGUGUAGGCCGGCAGCUGCAGCUCCAAUUCAACUCCUAGCCUGAAUUCAACCUCCAUAUGCCACAGGUGCAGCCCUAAAAAGCCAAAAAAAAAGAAGACUACCAGGGAAGUGCUGGAUUGAGGGUUUGGGAUGAGCAUCUGCACACUGAGGUAUAUGGAAUGACUGGCCAGUGGGGACCUGCUGUAUACCACAGAGAACUCUCCUGAAUAUUCUGUGAUCAUCUAUGUGGUUAAAGAAUCUGAAAGAGAAUGGAUGUGUGUACAUGUAUAACUGAGUCACUUUGUACAGCAGAAAUUAUCACAGCAUUGCAAAUCAACUAUACUUCAAGAAAACUUUUUAAAAAAUGGGAGACAAAGAAUGUACAUAUAUGUGUGUAUGACUGGGACACUUUGCUGUUCAGCAGAAAUUGACAGAACAUUGUAAAUUAAAAAAGAAAAAAUAAAAAUAUUUUUUAAAAAAACCUAACCA
rnacentral:lncRNA from 1 species